rnacentral:sRNA from 1 species
GCUGGGCACAGUGGCACACGCCUGUAAUCCCAGUGGCUCAGGAGGCUGAGACAGGGGGAUUACAAAAUCAAAGCCAGACUCAGCAAUUUAGCCCUAAACAACUCAGUGAGACCCUGUCUCUU